ACUAAAUAGUGUAAUUGCAAACUGAUAUGGAAUCAAAUGACUAUAAAUCGAAUCACUGAUCGAAAUUUGCACUGUCACGUUGUUACAAGACAAAGUUCACAAAUUUUGAUGCUUUUUUUUAAAUUACGCGAAGAAAUACAAUACAUUAAAAUAUGUUGAUUGGCCUAGUUGGUUUGUACAAAAUACGAGUGAACACUGCUGGUGGCUGUAUUCAAAUAUUCAUUCAAUGUUUCUGAGUAGAGCACUCCAUAGUUUAAAACAAUAUCUAAUUUCAAGAAAUAUGGUCGAACCAAAAAUAAAAGAGUUUGGCUACAACUUAUGUCGUAAAUAUCUUGGCGGUGAAUGGAAGGAGGUACCUUUAACAAAGUUUGAAAUAGAACGCGUCCAGUAAGUAUCAAUGUUGUUGCGUAAUAGAUAUUAUAUGAGAUUAUAAGUUAUUGUUUUUGGACCCCGUACUUGCAAACGUGUCUUCAAAACAAUGAUUUGUACUAGACAAUGUUGAGACUGCUUAAGCCCACUAGUCAAGAUCUUGUGGCGUAGUUAUUAUUAGCCGAAUUUGCAGAGCUUAGUAUGUGUUUACAAGGACAACCUGGCUGGCCUGGCU